AAUCAGCGCAUCAUCAACCCUGAUCUAUUGAUCGAUCUCGUCUCCUCCUUCACUGAAUAGCAGGUAGCGAAGCAGGGCUCUCCUUGUCCUUCUUGACGCCAGAGGCUCUCUCUGUUGCAUUCACGGAGGAGGGAGCGAAAAGGAAGCGUCGGGAAUUGCCAGGACUUGAGAGAAGAUGGCACUGCCGAGUCUGGACAGUCGGUCCUCCACUCACUUCAUCAAAGAAGAAGAUCAUUCUCUCUCUCCGCAUCUGUAUCCGACGAAUCAGACCUUUCCUCAAUCGUCGUCGUCUUCUUCAGCUAGGGCUCUGCUUUUUAAAUUCGUUCCGUGUAAAUUUCUCAGUCCACUACUUCAGAUCAUGGACCAAUGGAGGUCCUCCACUGACAUCAUCAAAGAAGAAGAUCUCUCUCUCGCUCUCUCUCGCACUUGAACUCGGCAAACUCGUAAGUUCACGUUUCUUCUGAUUUUGGUGUCUUAUUGCGCGUGAAUUAGGUUGAAGUCGGAAGCUGGUUUCGUAGAGACCUUCCUCAAUUUUCGCCUUCUUCUUCAGCAAAGGCCUAUGUUCUUCAAAAUUCGUCCCACAUUAGAGUCUAAAAGCAUAAGUUCCUCAAACUAGCAAUUUUAUCUUAACAAUGGAGUAAUUGAAAUAGGGAAAAGAAUGAAAGGACUAUUAUUGGGACAUAAGUUGGUGGUUGGAGCCUUGGAGGUUCGGAAAGAUAACAAUCGUCUCCUUUUUUUGUGGAUGGAUGCGUUGGAAAAGCAAUUCCUAAGGCGUCUUAGAAUUAGAAUCCAAGUCCUCUUAUAUGGAGAAAUUUGACAAUGUGAUUCAAUGUCGGAGAAGUAGAAUAUAUAUGUUAAUCGCACAAAGAGACUAUGUUCAUAUGGACAAGCAAAUUGCAAAGAAUGUUGCUGCCUCCAUAACUAAAGAGAAAGACCUAAUCGAUAAGGGGCUGGCUUGUUGUGAUUAUGAAAUUUCAUUGUAGAUCUAAUGACUGAUAAUUUUGUUUUCAAAUAGGAGAUGCUGUUGUAUUUUGUUAUAUUAAUCAGAUUUGGGGAAAAAAAAAGAUUUUACUUUGUCAAAUUGAACCGAUAGUUUGAUAAAACCUUAUUUGAGCUGCACUUGAAAGAAUCAAACAGCUUAAUUUUAAACUUUCAAUUCCAUCCAUGUUACAGUCAUCAAUGUAUUUGCUUUUUCCCCUGUGAUUGUGAUUUAUGUGGCUGAAAUUGAUAUGUUUUAAAUAUACAUAGGACCUGGAAGGCUUCUUCUGACUGUGUGCCCUAUUGCAUUCUGGGAGCAUAGAUUUGACCUUGACUUUGGAUUAAUGACUUUCGUCAUGUGGCUUACUGUCUAUUGAACUCCUGAAACUAGCAAGUAAUGCCUUAAACUCACUCUGUGUACGAUUUAAUUCUCUCAUUAGGGUAUGCUUAUGUCUUGGUCUUUUCUUCACCAUAUGUUGGUUUUUCAACCAUGUACAUGCGCACUCGGCUCCUGUUCAAUUCAUCUUGCAACAUAUUCAGGAAAUUUAGCAAAUUGUGACUCUCAGGUAUUCAAACAGGUCAUGGAUGGUGAAGCUAAGGAGUUGUGGAUGAGAUCUUUUUUUUUUUUUUUUUGGCCGGGGGGAAGGGAGGGGUACGUUCUUUUCUGCUGGUCAGCCCAAAUUUGCAAGAGAACGUCAUCUGCAUGUAGAAACUCAUUGAUAGGGAUGAUUUUCUGUUCAGAAUCCACAUAUUCACUAGUGCUGGUUAGGACUUGAUUUACAUUGAUCUAGAUGAACUCUGGAAGUGUCACUUUCACUGGUCCAAAAUGAAUUUAGUAUUCCAAAUAAUAACUCCUUUAUAUAGUCUUGAGGAAUCAAUGAAGUGUACUUCUAUGCCGAUUGGGUUUUAUGAGGUUGAUCACAAUCCAGAUGCACACUCAUUAAUGCCACAUUCCAAAUCUGAAUGAACUGAAAAGAAUAUUAAAAAUGUUCAAAAGGAUGCUUUUGAGAGAAUGGUGCAAUUAUUUGGCCUGUAGAAUUGGAAAAAUGUGAUGAGAUGGUUUGGUUAGCAAAGGGUUUGAAUGAAUAUGCAGAGCAUUACUCUAUCUGUGAGGUUCAAUUUUUGGUCUUCUAAUAUGAAGGGGACUCCAUUUCCCGUGUCACCAUAAUUGAUGAAAGGAUGUCUGAGAUAGAAUAUCUGCCAAUCAGUGUUGAUAUGAGGAACCGAGCCUCAUCAAUUAUGGAAUUGUCUUGCUGAAAGUGGAAAAUGCCUUCGAUUGCCAUGACCUUUCAGUCAAGCUUAAAGUCUGGGGGGAUGAAUUGCAUUCAGCCAAGUGUCCUCGGUUUUGUAUGGAAAUCGAAUCUGAUCAGGUUUGCAAAGUCCAUGGCAGUUCCUAUGUAGAGUUUGGGAGGGACAGAAGUUCCAAUUGCUCAUCACAAGAUUUUCCAGGUAAGCUGAGAGAGUCAAGCUUGUGAAGAGCUCUUGAACUGGCCAGCAAAUUUAUACUCGAUUAUCCUUUCUUCCAAAUUGCGGUGAGGUGAAUAUAUCUGAAGAAAAGCAAUAUGGGAGUUCCUGGUUCAUUCCUAAAGAUGCACUUUAAGAAAAGCCCGCAGACCAUGGCUCUCAUAUUUCAAGACAAAGCAUGGCAUUGAAGCUCACCAACCCUGAACAUCAUGGAAAGCUAUUUGCCCGCAAGGCUGUAUUCAUGAGAGAAACUUCACUGGAGGCAGAAGACGCGUGUGUUUGAGCUCUACUGAAAAGGACAAUAUCGUGUUCGGACUAUCCAACUUCAGAACCACUGAUAAGACUUGGCUGAAUGAUAAUACUAUGCAAUACGAUAUAGCAGAGGAAGUUUCGGCUUAGCUCACUUUUGGUGAGAAUGUGACUUUCAGAAUGGCUAGGCUGAAUUCUGCUUCCAAUUCGGCAAAAUGGAUAAAAGCAUGAGCUUUGUUCAAAUGAAUGAAAUGGUUCUGAGUGUGUA